rnacentral:tRNA from 1 species
GCCGACGUGGCGCAAUGGAAGCGCAUCUGUUACGUAAUAAGAGUGCUGAGAGUUCAAGUCUCUCUGUCGGCU